rnacentral:sRNA from 1 species
CCCCAGUGGAAGUGGAGAAGUCAGGCGCCACCGACAAGCCUCUCCCAGCCAGGACUUUGCUUAGACUCGCUCCUCCCGGCAGGGCGCACCUAGGCGGGUCCAUCACCAGCCGGAGAGAGGGGUGUGGGCAGGGAGGGAACAGGUGCGCGGCGGGACCCGCCCUAUCUCAACAGCUCCUGCCAGGGCCAUCCAGGUGACCGUGUCCAACCCCUACCACGUGGUGAUCCUCUUCCAGCCUGUGACCCUGCCCUGUACCUACCAGAUGACCUCGACCCCCACGCAACCCAUCGUCAUCUGGAAGUACAAGUCUUUCUGCCGGGACCGCAUCGCCGAUGCCUUCUCCCCCGCCAGCGUUGACAACCAGCUCAAUGCCCAGCUGGCAGCCGGGAACCCAGGCUACAACCCCUACGUCGAGUGCCAGGACAGCGUGCGCACCGUCAGGGUCGUGGCCACCAAGCAGGGCAACGCUGUGACCCUGGGAGAUUACUACCAGGGCCGGAGGAUUACCAUCACCGGAAAUGCUGACCUCACCUUUGACCAGACGGCGUGGGGGGACAGCGGUGUGUAUUACUGCUCCGUGGUCUCAGCCCAGGACCUCCAGGGGAACAACGAGGCCUACGCAGAGCUCAUUGUCCUUGGGAGGACCUCAGGGGUGGCUGAGCUCUUACCUGGUUUUCAGGCGGGGCCCAUGGAAGACUGGCUCUUCGUGGUUGUGGUGUGCCUGGCUGCCUUCCUCAUCUUCCUCCUCCUGGGCAUCUGCUGGUGCCAGUGCUGCCCGCACACUUGCUGCUGCUACGUCAGGUGCCCCUGCUGCCCAGACAAGUGCUGCUGCCCCGAGGCCCGUAAGUGUCCCGCUCAUGGCCACCCUGGUUU